GUCACUCUAGACGUAUCAAAAUGAUCUCCCAGACUCAGCUACUCUGGCUCCUCGUGCUCUGCAUUCAAGACUCCGGUGGGCAGACUGUGAUAACUCAGACUCCAGAAUCCCUCUCAGUGUCUCCAGGAGACAGAGUCACCAUCAACUGCAAAGCCAGUUCCAGUGUUAGUGGCUACAUGGCCUGGUACCAACAGAAAUCAGGACAAGCUCCUAAGCUCCUUAUCUACAGCGCUUCCACCCGUCCCUCUGGGAUCCCAGACCGGUUCAGUGGCAGUGGGUCGGGCACUGACUACACAUUCACCAUCAGCAGGGUUGAAGCUGAAGAUGCAGGAGAUUAUUACUGCCAAAAGCAUAACAGUGCCCCUCUCACACAGUGA